rnacentral:lncRNA from 10 species
UUAUCCAUUAUGUUCCCUGGAUUGACUUGGUACUCAACUAUUCCCUGGAAUGAUUCAGUACUCCACUGUUUUCCCUGACUGAUUGGUCAUGUGGUCUUUUUCCUGGAUUAACUCAGGCAUUGACUAUGUUCCCUGGAUUGACUCAGCGCUCAACUCUUUCCCCUGGACUGACUUGGUGCUCAAUUCUUUCCCCUGCACUGACUUGACUUUAUUGAAGCCACACUGCACUGGGAAGUGUUCAGGGAAAUCUUCAUUCAUAGGGUACCUUGCCAACAGGAACAAGAUGUUUUGCCUCAUCAAUAAAGACUGCACCCAACCAGAUAAGGAUGUAACCAAGCACACUCUUCCACUGUCAGUCUUCAUCAGAGGACUCUGUGACCAUAAAAACAGCAGGACUUCAGCAGCUUAAAACAGCCAUCUUAACAGACCCCAUCUUGCUGUAACUUGUAAUAAGCACCCACCAUCUGCCGUAAAAGCAUCUACCCACAUCGAAGAUGCUUCCUUGUAAGAUCCGUGGACCUCCUGGCCUCUUUUUGUCCUUGUCCCUCUCCCUAGACUGGUUCAUUAACCCUUUAUCCUGUCCCCUUUCUCUUGAUGUUAAAUGUUACUUUGUUUGUUGUGGAAAGCUUAAUCUGUAACAUUUAUAUAUUGGUUAAGUAUAUUAUUAUGCAUGGUUUGCAAUACUGACUGACUUGUGGAGUGGCUUGAGCCUGUGUGCCCACGUCUCUGACUACCAAGUCAAUGGGAAGUAGUAGGAGAAUUGUCCCCUUCGGAACUUCAUGUAGCUCAUGGCUUUUAUGAUUGAAAUAGCAUCAGUAAAAGUGUGACCUUGUGGAAAGACACAGAUAUACAUGAACCUGGUUAUCUCUGACUUUGCAACACUCACAAUAGGUACUAUAUGAAGUUUCAUGCAUCCACUCAAGGUCUUGUAACAUAUCUCCCAUGGACAAGGGAGUACUACUAUUUUCUGUUUCUAACAAUUAAUUCAAAAUGGAUUUCAGGCAAUUGAGCAUAUAUGAACCCAGGCUGCAUUGACGAUAUUAAAUAAUUGAUAAUAUUAAGGAACUACUGUUAAAUUUUAUUUUAUUUAUUUAUUUUUUUUCUGAUGGAGUUUCACUCUUGUUGCCCAGGCUGGAGUGCACUGCCGUGAUCUUGGCUCCUGGAUUCAAGAGAUUCUCCUGCCUCAGCCUCCCAAGUAGCUGGGAUUACAGGCACCCGCCACCAUGCCCACCUAAUUUUUGUAUUUUUAGUAGAGACAGGAUUUCCUCAUGUUGACCAGGCUGGUCUCGAACUCCUGACCUCAGGUGAUCUACCCGCCUCGGCCUCCCAAAGUGCUGGGAUUACAAACGUGACCCACCAAGCCUGGCUACUGUUACAUUUUAAAGAGUGAUUAGGCUGUUAUGGUUGUGUUAAAAAGAAGUUCUUGCAUUUAGACAAGUAACACAUUAUUUUGAAUGAAGCUAUACACUAUGUCUUUUAUAAAUAACACAUGAAGGGGUGGUUGUGUUCCCGGACUGAACCGAGAUUCAGGCUGCUCAUUCUCGGCAGCCCAAUAACAAGAUGCAGAUGAACUCGGAAAGAAGAGAGUUUAUUUCUGUAACUGGGUACAGGGAGAAGGCGGGGAAAAUAUCGCCAGACAAACUCAAAUUACAAAGUUUUCCAGAGCUUGUAUAUCUUCUAAGCUAUAUGUCUACGUGUAAGCGUGCAUUCAUCUAAAGACAUUGGUGAUGAACUUCUAAUCUAUAACUAAGGUCUGAGUCCUGAAGGCCUUUCUCUGGAGCCUCAGUAAUUGGCUUAAUCUAGAUGGGUCCAAGUGCUGGGGUGAUUACCCUUAUCUUGUCUCCUGCUAAAUCAUGGAGGUUUGGGGAGUUCCUCUAGACCCCCAACAAACUUGUUUGUGGAGGCCUGGGGAGUUUCUUCAGACCCCCAAUAAAACUGUUUAAUCCUAAAAGGGUCCUGUUAAGAAUUCCUUCAUUAUCUUGUCAUGCCUGAAGGCCCAGGAGAGGCCUGGGCAGAACUCUUGGUGGGCUUUUGUUACAUUCCAGCCUUUGUAUGAGGACACUGGCUCUUUCAGCUUUUAAUAUUUAACUUCACCACUCGGUCAGUGCUGAAACAGUUGUUACAAAGGCCUGCCUGUUCAGCUGUUAGUGAGGCCUGGACUGCCACCGUAGUGCGACUCAAGUUUGCCCAUGUAUGGAUAACUGUUGAAGCUAGUUACUAAGUACAUGAGACUUCAUUAUAAUUUUAUAUAUAUAUGUGUGUGUGUGUGUGUGUGUGUGUACGCAUAUACAUUCUAACUUUUUUUUAAAGUAAGGCAAGUCCUUUUCACAGGAUAGAAUAACUUUUGACAGCCAGUAAAAAUAUACAUUUAUGAGAUGUAUGAUAAAACACAAUCUUUAGGAAAUGAUUAGCAAAAUUAAAAUGAUAACAAUAACUGUGGGAAUUGAGAGUUCGAAAGCUUCUAUAUUUGUGCAGUAAUUCUAAGCUGGCACCCAGGCAUCGUCCGUCAUCUGGCCCACCAUUUGUAUAUGCUUUUUAUUCUCAUGUUCUCAUAAGACCCACUCCACCACCAGGCACACAAUUUGUGUUCUGAGCAGGAAACAGGAAAAUCUGAAUGGGAAUUUUCACUGCAAGAAAUUAUUGCUUAUGUUUAUUGACCACAUAUGAGGCACAGAAGUGACUUGGCACCACACUACAGAAUUAGCCGGGAAAUCAAGCACCUUGGUGUUGUCGCCCUGUAGUGUGAGAAGACAAGGAAAACUAAGUUUGCAUGGGCGUUGAGUGAGCUCAUGUACGAUACCUGCCACAAUAAUUCUAUUUCUCCACCCAGUAAAGAGUUUAGGAAUAGAAGAGCCAUGCAUUACAGGCCAAUGGAAUAUGAAGGCAACAUGUAUAAUAUGGGACAUUGUGGUCUGCCAUUUUCCCUGAAAUCAUGGCAAGUAUUUUGGGAAUAUUAAUGAAGCCAGGUCAAGGACAGAAAAUGACAAAGCAAAGAAAUGAAAAAACCCUGAACCCUCAAGGCCAUCACACACUUAUUAUUUU